UACGUAGAGAGCAAGCGUUGUCCGGAAUCAUUGGGCGUAAAGGGUACGCAGGCGGUCUAUUAAGUCAGAGGUGAAAUCCAACAGCUCAACUGUUGAACUGCCUUUGAUACUGGUAGACUUGAGGAUAAGGAGAAGAAAACGGAAUUCCUAGUGUAGCGGUGAAAUGCGUAGAUAUUAGGAAGAAUACCGAUGACGAAAGCAGUUUCUAGCUUAUUCCUGACGCUCAGGUACGAAAGCUAGGGGUAGCAAACGGGG
rnacentral:rRNA from 1 species